GGCAGGGCCCUCCCUGGAAUGGGGCUCUUAUCAAACAAGAGGUGGGGACUCUGAGGCACAAAGGAUGGAUUGAACACUCCGGUGUUACGCAGCAGGUCCCAACGUACCUGGGAGAGAGCACUGC